AUGGCGCACUGCCUCGCCGCCGUUGCCUCCUUCUCGCCGUCCGCCGUCCGCCGGCGGCUGUCCAGCCAGGUGGCUAAUGUAAUUUCGAGCCGGAGCUCAGUUUCCUUCCGUAGCCAGAAGAUGAGCUUUGUAUCCAUCAGUUCAAGACCGAGUUCACUUCGGUUUAAGAUUUGUUGUUCGGCCACAGGUGAGACACAGGCCAAGAAAGAGACAGUCGACAAGGUUUGUAUGAUAGUCAAGAAGCAGCUGGCAGUCCCUGAUGGGACCCCUGUCACAGCGGAGUCAAAAUUUUCUGAACUUGGUGCUGACUCACUGGAUACGGUUGAGAUUGUGAUGGGCCUCGAGGAAGAGUUCAACAUCACCGUUGAUGAAACAAGCGCGCAGGACAUUGCAACCGUGCAGGAUGCAGCGGACCUUAUCGAGAAGCUUGUGACAGAGAAGACCGCGUAA
rnacentral:rRNA from 1 species